GCAACACAGUCAGUAUUGCUCUACUCUCGUAUUGAUUUUGUUUCUUUCAAAAAAUAACUACAUAAAACCCUAAAACACGACAGCAUCCAUCCCAUUGUCAAUUUAAUGUUUUUUUUUUCAAUAACGAGCCUAUUGGUCGGAAUUGGAUCGAUAUAUCUCAUAUGACUUGGAUAAAGGAAUCGGUUGAUAGGAUCUUAAUUACCAGUCAUCACGAAGCUCGUUUGUGAAGGAAGGAAAUGCAUCACGCUGCCUUUCUUUUCCCCGUAGCCUUCCCCCUCAUCUUCUCCCAUAGCCUUCCUCCUCAUCUUCUUUCCAUCCCUCCCGACUGCACCCAGCCAGCAGGCAGCAUCACAGAGCCACUUCCGUGUGUGCGACAUGCUGCAGAUUGACCCAGGCUUGGACUAGGUGUUGUAGCUCCCCGCCCAUCCAAGUUUGUACCUUCAAAUGAUCCCCUUGAAAGGAAAUUACGUUACAAGUUGGAUGCCGCAAGAAGAAAUGCUGCUAAAAUUGCGGAGGAGUCCACACUAGCUGCUAAAGAUGAUGAUGAAGAAGACAGCAGAACUAGUGCCUUUGCAAAGAAAAGACCAGCAACUCUAGUUCAUGAGAAAUGUUAGUUAUUAUUUUAUUUUUUUUGGAAGCUGAGAAAUGCCAGUUUGUGUUUAUGUAAUUAUAUGAUAUGGGAGGCAAAUGAGCUGCAUUGCACAACAUUGUUGUAUAAAUUAAGUCACUUUCUUAAAACCUGACAUAAUUUUUUGUUAUUAUUAAAGAGGCUUGUGUGUUUGC
rnacentral:sRNA from 1 species